rnacentral:rRNA from 1 species
UAAAACAUAGCGUUAGUGCACUAGAUCCCAUUAGAACUCCACAGUUAAUUGCACUCAUGCUAGAGUAGUAGUGAGCUAGUGUUUUAC